AUUCCAGCUCCAAUAGCGUAUGUUAAAGUUGUUGCGGCUAAAAAGCUCGUAGUUGGAUUUCUAGAUGAGAGGAGUGGUCCACUCUAUGAGUGUGUAUCUACUUCCGCUCGUCUAUCCGCUCUGCAUACGUGUCUGCGCUUGAUUGCGUGGCGCGGAGGUAGGGCCUUUUACUUUGAGGAAAUUAGAGUGUUCACGGCAGGCAAUCGCCUUGAAUAUAUUAGCAUGGAAUAAUAACAUAGGAUCUUGGUCCUAUUUUGUUGGUUUCUAGGGCUAAGAUAAUGAUUAAUAGGGACAAUUGGGGGCGUUCGUAUCGCGGUGUCAGGGGUGGAAUUCUUGGAUUACUGCGCGACGAACUACUGCGAAAGCAUUUGCCAAGGAUGUUUUCAUCA
rnacentral:rRNA from 1 species